ACAUGUGCACCUAUGUAUUUUAGUUGAUCUAUCGAUUCUGUAAUAGGAAUGCAGCCAGCAAAAGUAUUAAGUGCAUACCUUAAUUCAAAAUCAAAAUUAUUAAAUUCAAAAAUCCUAGUUUGCCUCAUCGUCGAUUGUGGAAGAUCCAUAAGGUCAGGAAAGAUUAGAAAUUUCAUAAUUAAUAAUAAUAGUCCAGGAUGCUUUGCAUGCAUGCGUACACAUUGCAGAGUUUCAAGUGCAUUUGAGAGCGUGGUAAAAAAACGUGCGUGCGGAUUACAAUAUAUAUUAGACCAACUCAUGUUUAGCAAUUUGGAGGUACGAUUAAAAAAUCUUGGAAUUGUGGAUACAUACCUCAAUACCAAAGACAUGGCAGCAUCUGCACCAUAUCCGUCAACAGUUGCUUUUACAAAAUGUUGCUUCUGCGGAUGUCGAAUCCCAUAAAUCUCGCAAGAGUGGGCAGUCGUAAAUUGAAAGUCGAGUUUUGCAGGAACGUGCACGCCGGAAAGAUGGCAAAAUCAAGCUGUGCAAUAAUUUGUGUCCGUAUUAUUGGGAUACUUGAUUUGUUCAUUGCCGUCGCAUUGAUUGGAGUUGCUAGCUUCCAAUUUGCGAAAGGAUCUUCUCUUCUCAACGGUCCAAAAAGUGACAGUGAAAAGUUGAUUCGACUGGGCUGCUAUGCCUCCGCUAUCUACAUCUUCCUCCUUAUUCAGGUUGUGAUGAGCAUCAGACUGUACCGAGCUGCAGGAAAAAUUGUGGGAAGGUCCAUGUACGCAAUAAAAGUAUUUGGAUGGUGGAGAGAAUGGAGUGCGAUUUACUUGAUGGCAAUGCUACUCCAUGCCAUGGUCGUACUUAUGCUGAUGGAAGAAGGUCAGCGAAGAAUAAUUUCACUAAUUUCAUCAUUGGGCCAUGCAUUUGUUCGUCCGAUUGGGAUCUUUUUGGUUGGGGUGUUCAAACGCCGAUUGGAACUUCAACAGUUUCCGAAGAAAGACUUGCCAAACAGUGGAGAGAUCUAAGAAGAAUGCGCUUCAAUAACUAGUAUUAUGCAAAAAUAAACCUGUUUAAGUCGCCGAAUCAUUAGUGAAGAGCAUUCGAAAAUAAAUAAGUUUGGAUUUAAAUUGGCUUGCACACUAUGAAAAUCUCAAUAACGCGGCGUUCAAGGUUAUAUUUUCUCCACUGGCAAGUCUUAACGUCGUCCUGUCAUGGAUAAUCUACUUAAAUCAUUCUUAAUAUCUAGCGAGAACGGACUUUCUUUGACAAGCUCAGUGUCAAAAUGUUUGCUUAAACUUUGAUUAUUAUUAGAAAUGGGAAACCAAUAAACAAAUAAAGCGUUGACAGGAAUUAAGGUCACCCGUACAGCACAACCUGGCGUGUAGAUAACCAUUUAAAUUUUGCUAUACAUACAUACAUCCGAUGUCUGCAUUUUAUCGUGAAAAUGCAUGAAAGAAAUGUCGGACAAAACUUACAUAACGCACUCCAUUACAAGCACCUUGUCUCAUGAUAUUAAUUUUUUCAAGCCAUUUACAUACGUGCAGCACCUACUUUUGCUUUGUCAGACGAGGGUGAUUUAUCGCAAAGAUCACAACGUUUUUUUUAAAGCCAUGCAAGUUUCAACCAAGUUCAAGGGAUCGGGCGUCACUGGAAUUGCUGUAAUAGAUUGGAUUUUCUCUAUAUUUCACAUCUGCAACUAUUUUUUUCGUCUCAAGCGUUUCAAUUUCUUAUCCCUCGAACCAUCGGCGAUUCCAAGCAAGUUAAUUUUAUAAAAUUGCAUAAAGAGCUUGGAAUCAACAUUACAUGAAAAUUUUCUAUUUCCAGUUUACCAAGCAGCAUGGAUAACUUUAUUUGCGAAGCAUAUUAUACAAAUGUUUGUAUCAGGCUAUCUGUUUUUAUGCCUGCGACAGGUCAACUAUUCAAAGCAGCACUUUAGAUAUAUGAUGUUCGCUUGUCACGUAUGGUACACACUCUCGCUCACCAUUUACAUGGCGUCCUCUCUCAUGGAUGGAGUUAUUUUAUCCGUCUGCAAAUGCAGCAUUAACAUUCAGAACCCGACGACAAUGCAACUGAACUUUAUUCUCAAUGACCAGCCAUCAAAAGAAGUUGUGAUUCAUGCGAUGGAAAUAUUUUUUAGAUUUACUGGAAUGUGGAUUGUGUACAAAUUUGCGGGCCAAUUUCAUUUAAGCUGAUAAGUUAAUGUUUGGUAAUACUUAUUGCAGUAUCUGGUCUUUAUUUGUCACAUAUAAUAAACUUAUUACGCAUGCUAUAAAUAUGUUGUCAUCUAUCUACGCGAUCCAGAAGAAGUAGAAUUAAAUCACAGAAAUUAUGGUUACUUAAAUUGGGAUACAAAUACUUGAUAAAUUAUGACAAAAAAAGUUUCGAGAUCAAAUACCGAAAAAACAUCAGUUCACGUCACAGCUUCACAAUAAAAUUCUAAAACAACACGAGCGUACAUUUUCUUUACUUAAAAUUUACUUUGUUCCUCCUACUUUGUAAAUUCACUAAAAAAGUUAUCAAUAAAACAAGCAUGU